AGGAGAGUUUGAUCCUGGCUCAGGAUGAACGCUGGCGGCGUGCAUAACACAUUCAAGUCGAACGAAGCAUUAGAACGGAAGCCUUCGGGCGGAAGAUUUAAUGACUUAGUGGCGGACGGGUGAGUAACGCGUGAGCAACCUGCCUGCUUGUGAGGGAUAACACAGGGAAACUUGUGCUAAUACCGCAUGACGCAUAGGGAUCGCAUGGUUUUUAUGCCAAAGAUUUAUUGCAAGCAGAUGGGCUCGCGUCUGAUUAGAUAGUUGGCAGGGUAACGGCCUACCAAGUCGACGAUCAGUAGCCGGACUGAGAGGUUGAACGGCCACAUUGGAACUGAGAGACGGUCCAGACUCCUACGGGAGGCAGCAGUGGGGAAUAUUGGGCAAUGGGCGAAAGCCUGACCCAGCGACGCCGCGUGAGGGAAGAAGGUCUUCGGAUUGUAAACCUCUUUCAGCAAGGAAGAAGAAAGUGACGGUACUUGCAGAAGAAGCCACGGCUAACUACGUGCCAGCAGCCGCGGUAAUACGUAGGUGGCGAGCGUUAUCCGGAAUUACUGGGUGUAAAGGGUGUGUAGGCGGGGCGCCAAGUCAGAUGUGAAAAUUACGGGCUCAACCCGUAACCUGCGUCUGAAACUGGUGCUCUUGAGAGUGGGAGAGGUAAACGGAAUUCCUGGUGUAGCGGUGAAAUGCGUAGAUAUCAGGAGGAACACCGGUGGCGAAGGCGGUUUACUGGACCACAACUGACGCUGAGACACGAAAGCGUGGGGAGCAAACAGGAUUAGAUACCCUGGUAGUCCCCU
rnacentral:rRNA from 1 species